rnacentral:rRNA from 1 species
UACGUAGGGCGCAAGCGUUGUCCGGAAUUAUUGGGCGUAAAGAGCUCGUAGGCGGUUUGUUGCGUCUAUCGUGAAAACCUGCAGCUUAACUGUGGGCUUGCGGUGGAUACGGGCAGACUUGAGUUCGGUAGGGGAGACUGGAAUUCCUGGUGUAGCGGUGAAAUGCGCAGAUAUCAGGAGGAACACCGGUGGCGAAGGCGGGUCUCUGGGCCGAUACUGACGCUGAGGAGCGAAAGCGUGGGGAGCAAACAGG